rnacentral:rRNA from 1 species
CAGAGGGGAGCAAGCGUUGUCCGGAUUUACUGGGCGUACAGCGCGCGCAGGCGGUGGUGUAGGUACCUGGUGACAGUCUCGGGCUCAACUCGAGGGGGUCUGGGUAGACCGCACAACUGGAGGCAGGGAGAGGGAUGUGGAAUACCCGGUGGAGUGGUGAAAUGCGUAGAGAUCCGGAGGAACACCAGAGGCGAAGGCGGCUUACUGGGCUGACCCUGACGCUGAGCCGCGAAAGCCAGGGGAGCGAACGGG